rnacentral:rRNA from 1 species
AGGAUUGGAGGGUGGAAGGAGAAAAUCUUAUCGGCAAGAGGUAAAUAAGUGCUACUUAAGGUGGUGGCUCAAGCUAUACCAUCUUUUGUGAUGUCUGUAUUCAAGCUUCCCAAAAAGAUUUGUAAAGGGAUCACAGAUGCAAUCGCACAAUACUGGUGGGGAGAUGGUGUCAACGACAAGAAGAUGCACUGGUUCGCAUGGUGGAAAUUGUGUAUCCAAAAAAAUAGGGGUGGCCUGGGCUUUCGGGGUCCACACUUUUUUAAUCUCGCCUUACUUUCUAAACAGGUAUGGCGCUUAUUAUGCAAUCCAGAGUUUCUGUGUGCUAGAGUAUUGAGAUCCAAAUAUUAUCCAGACGCCAAAUUAUUGAAUGCAAGGAUGAAAAGUGAAGCUUCUUUUACAUGGCAAAGUAUCGUGGCAGGAAUUCAAAUGUUUAAUAGGAGUUGCAUUUGGCUUGUGGGGGACGGGACUCAAAUAAAAAUUUGGGAUGACAUAUGGAUUCCAAACAGCCCAUUUGGAAGAACUGUGACUCCAAGAGGUAAUGUCAUGUUGAGUAUGGUUUCGGAAUUGAUCAAUCCAAUUACUGUAUUAUGGGACGAGGGUCUGGUAAGAGAUAAUUUCUAG